GACGAACCGUGCGAACGUUAUUCGGAAUCACUGGGCUUAAAGCGCGUGUAGGCGGAUGGGAACGUCGGUCGUUGAAAGCCCCCGGCUCAACCGGGGAAGUGGUGCCGAAACGACCCGUCUGGAGGGACGUAGGGGGACCUGGAACUUCCGGUGGAGCGGUGAAAUGCGUUGAGAUCGGAAGGAACGCCCGUGGCGAAAGCGAGGUCCUGGACGUCUGCUGACGCUGAGGCGCGAAAGCUAGGGGAGCGAACGGG
rnacentral:rRNA from 1 species